GGCAGUGGUGGCUUGGCGGUUAAGGCUCUAGGUUACUGAUCUAAAGGUUGGGGGUUCAAGCUCCAGCGCUGCCA